UACGGAGGGUGCAAACGUUGCUCGGAAUCAUUGGGCGUAAAGCGCACGUAGGUGGCCUGUUAAGUCGGGUGUGAAAUCCCUGGGCUCAACCCAGGAAGUGCACUCGAAACUGGCAGGCUUGAGUACUGAAGAGGGUCGCGGAAUUCCCGGUGUAGAGGUGAAAUUCGUAGAUAUCGGGAGGAACACCAGUGGCGAAGGCGAUCAUCUGGGGUUGUUCUGACACUGAGGAGCGAAAGCUAGGGGAGCAAACGGG
rnacentral:rRNA from 1 species